GGUGUGUUUUAGCUAAUGCUAAUCACAUGCUAAUGGGCUACACUGUCUUCAGCUGAAGUCAACACAUGGGGUGCUACAAUCUGCUGCAAGAUAUGAUGCCCUCUGAGUGAAAGGGGGGGGAGGGAGAGAGGAUGACAUGCAGCAAAGAUCCACUGUGGCAAGGACAUAGCCUUUGUAUAUAUGGCACCUGUUUUACAAGACGCUGUUGUUAUAGUGAGGAGAGAGUACGGUGGAUUCUCCCUAGGAUUGCUCUUCUGAGAGGCUGCAGUUUAUUACAAAUGGGAAAGCUUUCAUUGCAGAUUGCCCCAGCACUGCGUAGAGGAAAAAUGUCCACACUGAGGAUGAAGAUUUUCCACUUCUACAAUCGCCAUCCCCUCCUGAGAGUCACCCCCAGAGCUUUCUGAAAAUUGCUGCCUCACCCUUCCAAGAAUCCCAGCCUUACUGAGGUGAAUAGGUUUGCAUACCUAUCUGGUUGGUCCCAGGUGAGGGAGCUGGACUCAGAGCUGUUCAAAGAAAUCUUUGGAAGAGUGCAUGUCGGAAAGAGGAACCUCAUCCAGACACCGAGGGAUACCGAAGCCCUCUGUACCCAGGCUGGCGGGGAGCUCACCUGACAGUGCCUAGUGUCCUGGCCUGGACACAUGAGAUCUGGUGCCUGCUGUCAUGUGGACUCAUCACCAGGAAGGUUAGACGCAGCGAUCUGGUGCAUCGCAAGUUGGCAUCUUGGAGUCCUGAUUCUUGGCUACAAAAAAAUUGUGAUGUGGAUUGACACCUCUCUGGUA